AAUUAGGUCUUUCCGUUCCUCUUUCUCGGUUUUUCGUACCCUACGAGACCAGUACGCAGGAAACAGCUGUUGGGACUAUCUCAAACCUCAUCCACCCAAUGACCUCUAAGCUACUUCCUUCCAACCUCCGUCACCACCUCACUAAAUCAGCCCGUCUCCUCCGCCACCAGCUUCUGUCCACUGCUGCUGCGGCGGCAGAGCCCCAAAGCCAUGAUAACUCGCUGGGACUGACGAUGAAGGGGGUGAGAAUCUCUGGAAGACCCCUUUACCUAGACGUGCAAGCGACAUCACCGGUGGACCCUCGAGUCCUCGAUGCCAUGCUUCCCUUCUAUCUCUCUCGCUUCGGAAACCCUCACUCUCGCACUCACUUCUAUGGUUGGGAAUCCGACGAAGCAGUGGAACAUGCUCGCUCUCAGGUAGCGUCCCUUAUCGGUGCUUCCCCCAAAGAAAUCGUCUUUACCUCUGGUGCUACCGAAUCCAACAACAUAUCCAUUAAGGGUGUCAUGCAUUUCUACAAGGACAAGAAGAGGCACGUGAUAACUACACAAACGGAGCACAAGUGUGUGCUUGAUUCUUGCCGCCACCUUCAGCAGGAGGGUUUCGAUGUUACGUAUCUUCCUGUUGAGGCUGAUGGUUUGAUUGAUUUGGAGAAGCUUAGGGCUGCGAUAAGGCCUGAUACAGGGCUUGUUUCUGUGAUGGCGGUGAACAAUGAAAUUGGGGUGGUUCAGCCGGUGGAGGAAAUUGGGAAGAUUUGCAAGGAGUUCAAUGUUCCCUUUCACACUGAUGCGGCUCAGGCUUUGGGUAAGAUUCCAAUUGAUGUGGAGAAGUGGAAUGUGAGUUUGAUGUCAUUGAGUGGGCAUAAGAUUUAUGGGCCUAAAGGGGUUGGGGCUUUGUAUCUUCGGAGGAGACCUAGGAUUCGCGUUGAGCCUCAGAUGAAUGGUGGUGGGCAAGAGAGAGGGAUUCGAAGUGGAACUGUUCCUACACCUUUGGUUGUGGGGAUGGGAGCAGCAUGUGAGGUGGCUAUGAGGGAGAUGGAGUAUGAUGAGAAGAGGAUUUCUGCUUUGCAAGACCGGCUGCUUAAUGGGAUUAGAGAGAAGCUUGAUGGGGUGGUGGUGAAUGGGAGCCUGGAAAGGCGAUACACGGGGAAUCUCAAUUUGUCAUUUGCGUAUGUUGAAGGGGAGAGUCUACUCAUGGGAUUGAAGGAGGUGGCUGUAUCCAGUGGCAGUGCCUGUACUAGUGCCAGUUUGGAGCCUUCCUAUGUGUUGAGAGCAUUGGGAGUGGAUGAGGACAUGGCUCACACUUCUAUUCGGUUUGGUAUUGGGAGGUUCACUACUGAGGCUGAAAUCGACAGGGCAGUUGAGCUCACGGUUCAGCAAGUGGAAAAGUUGAGGGAAAUGAGUCCGCUUUAUGAAAUGGUGAAGGAAGGUAUCAACAUCAAGGAUAUUCAAUGGGCACAGCACUGAUAAUUGAUAAUCCAAGUUUAUGGUAUUGGGAGCCUCUUAGAACUGUUUUGAGAAUCACAAUAGCUUGCAGUUGAUUAAAGUUCUUGUUUUAUACAAAUGUGAUCUUCUUGUUGAUCUGUGAUGCAUAAUUACUAAGCACCAGUUGUGAGGUCAUUAAAGAUGAAGAUGAGGAUUCUGAUACAUUUUCCCUGUAGCAUCUAAUGAUAGUUUUCAGUACCACGAUGAUACAUAAGGAUUUUCAGUACAAAAUUAAGCAUGUUCUUGUGAAAUAAUUUUACCAGAUAUGGUAGAUACAUAUAUGGUAAAAUUCUUUUAAAUCUUGCAAAUGUGCACGUUUGUUGAUUAGCUAUGAGAAUGUUCCUCCUGAUAAGUGCAGCUUACUGUUCGUUAAGCUUCUUUGGUUGUACAAGUGUGACAUUCUUGUUAAGAUGUAUGCCCUUGAUAUGAGAUCAUUAACAAAUGAAAAUGACUGUUCUGAUAUUUGUGCUCCAAAGCACAUCUCUAUCUUGUAGAAACACAUUUGGAGUUUCUUCAGUUAAAAUUCAGUUGAGGUUUUAUC